rnacentral:rRNA from 1 species
UUCUCCUACGGGAGGCAGCAGUAGGGAAUCUUCCACAAUGGACGAAAGUCUGAUGGAGCAACGCCGCGUGAGUGAAGAAGGGUUUCGGCUCGUAAAGCUCUGUUGUUAAAGAAGAACAUAUCUGAGAGUAACUGUUCAGGUAUUGACGGUAUUUAACCAGAAAGCCACGGCUAACUACGUGCCAGCAGCCGCGGUAAUA